UAUCCUGCAAUUAUGAUAGCUUGUAGUUUAUUAAGUUAGAAUUAUGGUUGCCCUUAGUGUAAGAUAAUUACACUUAUUUAUAUUAUAGGCGUUUAACGAUGGACAAGAGUUGGAUGAACAUUAGGAAUAAGUUAUCGAUUAAGUAUAGAGAGUGAGUUUUCAAAUUCUUAGACAUUGCAAAGUAUCACGUCGAUGAGUACGGACAAAUAAGGUGUCCAUGCAGGAGAUGUAUGAAUUCGAAUUGGGACUCGAGGUGUGGAGAGACAUUUAUUAAUCAUUGGAAUGUGUCCCUUCUACCCAAAAUAGGUGUAUCAUGGAGAGCUUUCUAUAGAAAGAUUUGAUGAAGGAACUAGUAAUGAUCCUUUCUAUAAAGGAGAUGACAUCACUCUAGGAACCUGGAGUUGGAUAGAUAUGUUGCACAAAAUGGCAAGAUCCCCAUAUCUGUCACUCAAGGCCAGAACAAGCCUAUCUCACCACACGUCGUUCGCUAUAGCAAUACCAUCGGCGUGUUAACGCGAGACACUUUUCCAGUCUGCUUUCUUAAGUGGAUUGAUGUGACACUGGAGUACAUUGAGGUCGUUAAAGGCAGUUUAUAGGUACGUUUUUAAAUCACUUAUACAUAUAUGUUACCUAUACGAAUAUACAUUGAGGUCGUUAAAGGCAGUUUAUAGAUUUGUGUCGAAUUUCACCGAUUUAGCACUUACUCGGUUUGUUGAGCAUCAAAUGCUCAUUGUGUGGAAGGAGUUUAGGAGACAGAACCACCGCCAUUUCAAAAAGUUCAAUAAUCCUGAACACGCUCGUGCUAAUCCACCCCCUAGAUUGAGCAAUCGGGUGCAAAAUUGGCACUUCCUAUACGACUACUACCUCACUCGACAAUUUCAGGAGCAAUCGUCGAUGAAUAAGGCUGCUAAAGCGAAGCAGCCCUACAACCACAUCGGGGUCACUGAACAGCGGGUUCAUUCAAUUGAUUGUGCGGAGUUAUUUAGGAAAACACAUGCUCGGGGUGGCCAGCUUGUUUUACAGGCAGCUACGGAUGCGCAUCCUACCUAGUGGGUUCUCAACAACUCUUUCGGGACGGGAUAUACGAGACCGUUUUGCGUAGACGACCGAGCUACUCAAAAGAUCUUGGUUGGGGCCCCAAACCAAAGUCUCAAGAUGCUGCUGGCAGUUCUUCAUCCACAUUUGUCGAGCGAGCGCUAGCGCACGCCAGGGAGGUUAACGAGCUAAAAACUUUUCUUGAGGUAGUAGAAGAAGAGAGUAGCAGGAAGUACGAAGAAAAUAUUCGCUUGAUAGAAGCACAAACUCGACAGAUGGAAGAAAUGAGGAAAAUGAUUGAAGACCUUUUUCGGGCUUCGAGAGGACAUUGAUUUCGUUGAGGUUUGAAGGCAUGGGAAGCUUUCAUGGGACAUCGACGCUUAGAUUAUGUGUUUAGUUUUUUGUUUUUAGUUUAAGUUUUUUGUUUUCAUUAUGUAUGUAAUUUUUAAACUACGAAAAUUUUUUAUCUUUAGUAUUUCAAU